rnacentral:rRNA from 1 species
CUGGAGCUUGCUCCGGCCGAUUAGUGGCGAACGGGUGAGUAACACGUGAGCAAUCUGCCCUUGACUCUGGGAUAACUGCGGGAAACUGUAGCUAAUACCGGAUACUUUCCUCGCUGGGCAUCCAGCGGGGAAGAAAGAAUUUCGGUCAAGGAUGAGCUCGCGGCCUAUCAGCUAGUUGGUGAGGUAAAGGCUCACCAAGGCGACGACGGGUAGCCGGCCUGAGAGGGUGACCGGCCACACUGGAACUGAGACACGGUCCAGACUCCUACGGGAGGCAGCAGUGGGGAAUAUUGCACAAUGGGCGAAAGCCUGAUGCAGCAACGCCGCGUGAGGGAUGAAGGCCUUCGGGUUGUAAACCUCUUUUAGCAGGGAAGAAGCGAAAGUGACGGUACCUGCAGAAAAAGCACCGGCUAACUACGUGCCAGCAGCCGCGGUAAUACGUAGGGUGCAAGCGUUGUCCGGAAUUAUUGGGCGUAAAGAGCUCGUAGGCGGUUUGUCACGUCUGCUGUGAAAAUCCGAGGCUCAACCUCGGACUUGCAGUGGGUACGGGCAGGCUAGAGUGCGGUAGGGGAGAAGGGAAUUCCUGGUGUAGCGGUGGAAUGCGCAGAUAUCAGGAGGAACACCAAUGGCGAAGGCACUUCUCUGGGCCGUAACUGACGCUGAGGAGCGAAAGCGUGGGGAGCGAACAGGAUUAGAUACCCUGGUAGUCCACGCCGUAAACGGUGGGUGCUAGCUGUGGGCCACAUUCCACGUGGUCCGUGACG